rnacentral:lncRNA from 1 species
GGAAUGUUCUAACUAGGGGAAAUUUGGGGAACUGUGAAGAAAGUUGGAACUAAACUGAAAUUUACAGGUGAAUGUACUUUGAAUAAUUUCCAUGUUUAAUUUUUUCCACAAAAAUAUUUUUCCUCUCUUUAUAAGGAUUUCCUCCAAAACCUCAAGGGAAGUCUAAUGACUUCAAAACUAUAUGAUGAGUGGAUUGCUGUACCCGAAAAGGUCAAUGAUGAAGAGAAAUUAGCUGCAGUGCAGAGAUUCACAAAAACACAAAGGCAAUGUAUAUACUAACCCAAGAGUAACAUCUAUUAAUCCACGGCAAGCAAAACAGAAAUGUUUGUUUGGCAAAUCUCUUUUGGGUCUUUAGAAGACAAAAAGUUGCCUACUCCAAAACUUAUGGAGUUUCUACAGCACCUUCAUUCUAAGUAAUUAUUUAAUCAAACAGAUUAAUGUUUAGAUAACCUAUACAUGAAGGAUAUGUUAUCCAUAAUUGCAGAGAAAGGGCCAGAAUCAGAUCACAUAUUCGAAAUUCCACCUAAAGAAUCACAUUGAUCCCUGAGGUGUAGGCUUGACAGUGAACAACACAGUGACUGGAGUGAAGAAUACAUGCUUAUAACAGCAUCUGUCUUAAAGGAUUUUAUUAUUACCAUCGAUGGAAGCUUACUAACCUUGGAUUUUUAUGAAAAUUGGCUUAGCAUCCCAGAUGAAGGAACUCUGGCUGGAAAAAUUAAUGCCAUUCAAAGCCUUUUGCAACAGAUCCCAGAACCAAACUUUAUACUAUUAAAACAUCUCAUAUGUCUAUUAGUAAUAAUAAAAGAUUCUUCUAUGAAUAAUUUAGACAGUUACAUGUUGUCUCUGCGCAUAGCUCCACAUGUACUGUGGGGUCAGACUUCGAGAGAUUCAUUAUGUGGGAGUGACGUUUUAAGAAAUGUAAGGGGAUCUGAAAUUUGCCUUUGGGAACAAAAGUCUAAUUUUUAUCAUUCAGUAAUUGGGAAUACUUUACAAAGAUGAUUUCUCUAACAGGAAACCCUAGGAUUGCAUUCUUAUGGAGUGGAGUAGAAUAUGUAUUGAUCUAUAUCAGGAAGAUUUGGGAAGGGAGAUUUUUAAUGUAGUUUAAAGUAAGUUAAUCGUUUCUUUCUACUGUUCUUUCCUUCUUUAUUCUUAAAUAUUGAUUUAGAUAUUGACGUUUUAGCCAAUAAUAAUCUGUAAUCCAAGAAGACUAGAGUGAAAUUUUAAAAGAUCCGGAUUACCUAGGUUUUGUUUGUUUUUUCCAUUGUAGCCCUACUUUUGGAGUUUAGAACAGUUGUGUUUCACAGUGGUGAGACCAUGAUAUUACUAAAUAUUCACAUCAUGUGAAUUGCUGGUCAUAUUAAAGCAUAUUGCAAAUAUAUAUGUAUAUAUAUAUGUAUGUGUGUAUACAUAUAUGUGUGUGAGUGUGUGUCUGAGGGUGAGUUUGUUUGUGUACAUAUACGUGUAAUGUGUACUUGUACAUGUGCAUCUAUUUGUAUAUGUAUAUGUAUAUACAUAUGUAAUGAUGAAUAAUUGGUGUAUAUUAUUUUGUAUUCUUUCCAUUAUUUUAGCACUAACCUAUUUCAGGUAGAGUUUUAUGAUCCUCAGGUAUACUGUAGCUGUUAAUUUUAUUAUAAACACACAUACAUCAAUAUCCUUCACUAAUUUAUUUACUUUAUAUCCUGAUUGCAGUCCCUUCCUCCAAGUCCCAUCUUUGCAACCUGUUUUCCCCUCCAUUCUUCUUUAUCUCAGUAGUGUAGAUCUUCCAUUGACACCAACCCACUCUCAUACAUCAAUUCACAACAGGAAUAAGUGAAUCACCUUCCCCUGAAGCCAUACAAAGCAGCCCAGAUAAAAGAAAGCAAUCCAGUUGUAGACUACAAAGUCAGAGCCAGUCUGCAUACAAACUGGUAGGGGACAUACCUGAAGAUCAAGCUGCAUAUCUCCUACAUAUAUAUAGGGGCCCUAGAUCCUGCUGCUGGAGCAUAUGAUGGGGGAGAUCCUGCAGAUUCAAAGCUGAAGGAUCACAAUGACUAAAGGCUACAGCAAGAUACCAGGAUAUAGAAGGAGAGGCAUCUCCAGGAGAUUCCAGUAUUGAGAGUAUAGAAAAACACAGAGAGCUUAAACCAGACUUAUUUCAUUAUACAUUUGCAAGAAAAUCUG